rnacentral:lncRNA from 1 species
CUGGGUCUUCCAUCUCCCUGCUCCCUCCUGUCUCCUCCUCCGCGGACUUGGGGUCCCCAGGAGCCCUCCCCCGCCACCAGGAGGCCAGUCUCCUCCCCGGCAUGUCCACCUCCCGCCGCGCUGCUCGGGGCUCCCCUCCCCUCCCCUUGCUGGUUCCCAGAACUGGGCCUGGGUUAGUGCGGGGAAGGGGGGUGUGUUUGUUGAGUGAAUAAGCGAGUGACUGGGGAGGCUUGGUUUCGGGGUCCCAGAGCCCGAUUGACUCAGCUGAAAAGUUCAGGAGAAACAGAGACUUUUGCAGGAGCAGGCUGGGGGCUAGGGCAGACGAGUGAGGAGGACAAAGGGUCUGUUCCCUGUCACUCUGACAGAGAGAGGGGCUUCCUGCCAGGAAAGAGUGGUUUCUGGAGCAGACCAAGGAAGGAAACACCGCCCGAAUUCACGGAAGAGGCUGAGGACUCUGGCUGGAAACACGUGGCCGGCUUCUCGCCUCUCUCCUUGCGGCUAUUUGCCCUGUUUCCUGGCCAAGGUAGAAAGAGAACAAGCCAUUUUGCUCAUCAUCAACAAACCUUGACCAAGGAAGUGUCUGCGUGUGCAAUGUGCCAUCUGAACCCUGGAGGCAUAAGCAGUAUGGUCACUUGUCCCAGCAUUGUUGGGAAGUGAAAAUGUAUCCAUGGAAAGAGAGCAGAAAGAUAAGACUACGCCCCGGGGAUAAUGAAAAAGAGAGGACUUGACCGCUGAGGGAUGGAGUUCCAAGGAAGUCAGUCCUUGAUGGGGCCAAGCAGCAGGGGAAGACGGGCGCUAUCAGGCUGGGGACAGAGCCCAAGCCAAGACCCAGGUGUAUGAAUGGACAGGACCUGAGAUGACCCGGUGGGUCAAACUGUCUGACUGUAGAAGAGGAGCUGGGCAGAGAGCAGAGGUCCAGGGACAGGCCAAGUGCUCAUUUGGAUCUCCUUCCAAAGAAACGACUGCUCCCCAAGCCUGUGUCAGGGUCUGCUUUUGGGGGAUCCCAACGAAGACAUCAGCCUCCUACUCGCUCCACAUCUGCCUCCAGGCUACUGAAAACUCCUGGAAAAGGGACUUAAGUAGCUCUAUGAUACAUCUGCAUUCAGAGAUGUGAAAUACUGAAAUAGACAUUGAAGAAAAUGAGUUUGGGUGUACAAUGGUCAAUAGAUUCAACUGAAGCAAGGCUGGAGGCAGGGGGCCCAGCAAAGAGGCUGCCACACUUGUCCCUCUAAGGAAGCCUGCAGUGGGCUAGAGGUGGCCGUAGAAAACAGUCAGGAGGAGGUGAUCAUUCCAAUCCCUCAGAGGUAAAAGGGCAUGUUAACCGCUUGUGUUUUGAAAAACAAGGCUGAGAUCAAAACUAUCUGACUUAUGGUAUUCCAUUCGAUGUAUUUGUCAAAAGAAACGGAAGCAUUUGCCAUGAAGAAAGGAAAGCCACACACUUAUCUGCCUGAGCUAUUUUGCUCAUAGAAGAUCUCACAUCAGCGCAGCAGAAUAGGAGAUGACUUACUUUCCUGCUAUUUGACUUGCCUGCUAUUAUUUUCUUUGAGACACUGAACACUCCACCUAUUUCUUUUUUAUUUUCUUCUCAAUAGGAACUCUUGUUGGCCUCUUUGGAUUAUUUUGUUUUUCAGAUUUUUUUUUUUUUUUUUUUUUUAGUGAUCCAAGACAAUAUGUGCUAAAAGUCCUCCCCAUUGCCUUGGUAAAUCUAUUUCUGGGAAUAAGCUAAACAUAGGAGAAGAUUUAUACUAAAAAAUGUUCAUCAUAGUGUUAUUUUUAAAGGGUUAAAAAUUAAACAUUUGGCAGGACAUGGUGGCUCACGCCUGUAAUCGCAGCACUCUGGGAGGCCGUGGCAGGUGGGUCAUUUGAGGUCAGGAG